rnacentral:rRNA from 1 species
CGGGAGGCUUAAUACAUGCAAGUCGAGGGGCAGCAUAGGACUUCGGUUCUGAUGGCGACCGGCGCACGGGUGAGUAACGCGUACACUACCUACCUUUAACAGAGGGAUAGCCCUGGGAAACUGGGAUUAAUACCACAUAGUAUUGCAUAAUUUAUUUUUAUGCAAUUAAAGCUCCGGCGGUUAAAGAUGGGUGUGCGUUAGAUUAGCUAGUUGGUAAGGUAAUGGCUUACCAAGGCUACGAUCUAUAGGGGGCGUGAGAGCGUGGACCCCCACACGGGUACUGAGACACGGACCCGACUCCUACGGGAGGCAGCAGUAAGGAAUAUUGGACAAUGGGCGCAAGCCUGAUCCAGCCAUCCCGCGUGAAGGAUGACGGCCCUAUGGGUUGUAAACUUCUUUUAUUAGGGAAGAAACCUUUUCAUUUAUGAAGAGCUGACGGUACCUAAAGAAUAAGCACCGGCUAACUCCG